rnacentral:lncRNA from 10 species
AGUGAGACUGUCUCUACAAAAAAUACAAAUUAACCGGGCUCGUGCCUGUAAUCCCAGUUUACGUAAUCCCAGAUUACAGGCUCGUGCCUGUAAUCCCAGCUAGGGUAGGCCGAGGUGGGAGGAUCUUUGAACCCGGGAGUUGGAGGCUGCAGUGAGCUACGAUCGUGCCACUGCACUCCAACCUGGGCGACAGAGCGAGACUCCAUCUCAAAAAACAAACAAAACAACAAAACUGAGCUAAAGACAAAUAGGAUUGACCUGGGGAGUGGGGUCUGAGGCAAUGGGAUGAGGCUGUCUAACAGGGCACCUCACAGGGAGAUGAGAACCGCUUGGCCACACAGAGGCAAAAUGCGGCCGAGGUCAGCACAGCCCUCUCGGGGUUAAGAACGGGGCGCCUGAGGGGUAUCCCGGUCCCCGACUAGAACCUCCUACGCGCUGGCAGCCAGAAACAGGAUGAAGGAGACUGGCGCGGACUGCGGGCUCUGCGGGCGGGGCGGGGCGGGGCGGGGCGGGGCGGGGCGGGGCGGGGGCCAGCCCUCUGGGGCAUGCCGGGGGGCGGAGUCUGCGCUGAGUGAAGAGGUGCCAGAAUCCGCGAAGAGGGUCGACGAAUGCGCUGCCGCGGAGGGCCGUGGAAGAACUUGCCGAUGGAGGGACCACAGAGGGAUCUAUGGGAGAACAACGGCAACUGCAGGAGAGUGGGCCAAAUAAUCAUGGCAACAGGACUUUUAGAAGCACGUCCUCUGAAAGCCAUUUUCUGCCUGUGGUUGGAAAGGGACUGUGAGUCUUUCCUCAGGAAGUCAGUAGCCCUACCUGGUGAGGUGAUCAAGAGUUUGCUAGCACAAGAGAUGAAGGUACCUCAGAAGUUGCUGGAAGACCCCUCUGUGAAGGGAUUAUGCCAGCAACAAUGGCCAUGAGGGAUUCAAGGAUUAUGCGUCUCUGCACCCUACAAUACACCAACUGGCAGUUCCAUCAUUUGAAAGAAAAUCUUCAAGGUAAAGACAUUUACAAUGACACAAAAACCUUUCAAAGGCAUCAUGGUCCUAAAGGGCUUUCCCCAAGGGACAGCACAGUGUGUUCCAGGCCCUGACAAGAGGUUUAAGACCUGUGACACAGACUGAAGCUCUCCUGGCAUACUCUGAAGCUCUCCUGGCACCCUCCCCUUUAUGCUUCACAGGUGUUUCUCCUAAUAAAUUUCUUGUAUGUCUCAUCCCAUCUGGGAAUCUGCUUCUCAGAAGACUCAAACUAACAUAUCUGCCCACUAUGUAUCAGGCACUGUGCUAGGUGCUGGAGACCUAAAAAUGGAUAAAACAGACAAGAGCCCUUCAUUCAUGGUGCUUGCAUCAUAGUGGGGGUAAAUAUUCCAUAAGCAAGAGAAUAAAUAGAUAAGAUAAAUUUAAAAACUAGAGAAUGACUUGUUAUAAAUUGAUUGGUAAUCAGGGAAGGUCUUCUGAGGAGAUGACACUUAAGCUGACACCUGAAUGAGAAGAAGGGGCUGGUCAACUGAAGACCUAGAUGAGAGUAUUGUAGGCAGAGGGAAGAGCAAGGACCACAGGUUGAGAAAGAAACUAGUUUGACAUAUUUGAUGGGGGAAAAGCCAGUUUGAAGAAUAAUAAAAAAGGGAAUGAAUGGAAUAAACAAGGACAUUAAAGAACUAGAGAGGAGCCUGAUCAUCACAGUAAGGCAUUUAGAAUAGGUUAGGGAGAAGACCAUUCUCUAUCAGGGUAGAACUGAAAAGGCUACGUCUGCUGCUAAAUGCUGCUAUAAAAAGACAAGGGCUUUCAUAUACUACAGAUGCAAUCUUUUGGAUCCACUUAUAUUGAGCAGACUUCGUGGACCCUCCUAAGAAAGUAGGCACCACAAAAAUAUUACAUCUAUACAAAAUGCAGGGCUCCAAGCCAUAGAUGUAUAUAUCACAUUGUGUGUGUGUGUGUGUGUGUGUGUGUGUGUGUGUGUGUGUGUGUGUGUGUCUGUAAAGCCAGCCAGUUUGUAAGCUGAACAUGACUCCCACAUGCUUUCAGAGAGAAGAGAAAAGAGAGAGGACCGUGUACUGGAAUAAGCCCUAAGAACUUCUUGGAAGAAGGGGAAGUUAGCUGAUCAAAAUUAUGUUGCUUUCUAGAAAAGAAGUAAAAAGCCAGGCAGUUUCUUUUGCUAGAACUGUCUGGGUAGAUUUCCAUUCUAAGAAAAUUACAACAAUGUAUAGUUUUAAAUAGCUAGAAGGAGAAUACUGAAUGUUCCCAACACAAAGAAGUGAUAAAUAUUUGAAAUGACGGAUAUAUUCAUAGUCCUUAUCUGAUUGCUAUACACAAUAUGUAUUGAAACAUCAUUAUGUACCCCAUGAAUAUGUGCAAUUAUUAUAAUUCAAUUUAAAAAAUAAAAUUAAACAAAGAAAGCAAGGGGUCAACAGCAUCCAUUGUAAAUGUGCUACCUCUCCACCUGUCUCAUUUAUGAAGUUGGGGGAGCUCCUGAACAGAUAACGAAGUGCAAUGAAAUUUGGAGAAGAAAUCUAGUACCUAGGUCUAGAGAGCAAAUGUGCAACUUCUUUGGAGAAUAUGUUUCAAAUAAAGCUUCAAGAGCUGUUCCUAGUAGCAUAUGGCUGUUGCUCUUGGUGUGGAGGUUCAUGGAGUAAUGUUUCUUGAUCAGAGGAUCUUGCAGGUUAUUGUUCACUUCUACUGCUGCCUCUACCCAAUGUAUAGUUUGAGUCCUAAGAGGCUUGGCCUUUUUACUUUGCCUUCCACCCCAAUAGGGACAGCACAGUGAGAAACAGAUCUACAAUGGCUCCGCAGACCUUUCCUUUGGAGAGAUGCUGGGCAGCUGCACACACUAAGAAAGUUUCCUGAAAUAGAAUUGCAUUAUCUGAGGCCUGGAAAAUGUGUUGGAAAAGCUCACUUAGCUAUGGGAAAGCCGAUGAAAGACCUGUCUGGUUUCUGAGCAUUGUCUGGGGAGCUCAAAUUCUAUAAAUGGGCCCCCAAGGUAUCCAUCAUUUAGCCCUUGCCAAGGCUGGGUCAACAUGCUGGCAAAGAACUGUCUGAACAUUGAAAAAUCCUCCAACCUAUUAUCUCCUGAGAGAAAGCUAGUUAUUUGAAAUACAAGUUGGAUUUUAAAAUUUCUAUCAGCAUGUUUUUAAAUUAAUCUUUUGUUAAUGUAAACAUACAGAAAAUUACAUGCAUUAUAAGUGAACAGAUCAAUGAAUUUUCAAAAAGUGAAUAUAACUUUAUAGCCACAUCAGAUCAAGAAACAGACAUUACCAGCACCCCAGGAGUCUUUCUACUAUUUCCUUCCUGAAUCCAGAAUAGGGUAACUACUAUUCUGGAUUGUAAUACAGAUAAGUUAACUUUGCCUGUUUUGUAUUUUAUGCAAAUAAAGUCAUACCAUAUACAGUACUGAUCUCAAGGAAGAAGCUUUUAGCAUUUUAAUAUUAAAUACAAUAACAUGUAAUUUUUUGGUAGAUUUUUAAAAUCGAAUUUAGAAAGUUCCCUUCUAUUUCUAGUUUGUUACAAAUUUUCAUCAUGAAUAUAUGUUGAAUUUUGUCAAAUGCUUUAUUUUAUUGAGAUAAUCUGC